UUAUACAAUAGUUAACUGUAAAUACUACAGUUCACUACAAUAUACUACAGUAAAUACUAGUUUUCACUGUAGUGUUUUUGCUGACUUUAGUGUUUUACAGACUUUUUGCACUUUAGUUACUCCAGUGAAUACUACAGUAAAGUCAGCAAAAACAUUACAGAGAAUACUAUAGUAUUUUUUCAUGUGGGAAGCCAGUAGUCAUGGCUUAGUAAGGACAAGGUGGCAUCUGUAUUCAUAGUGAGUGGAAUGGAGGUGGAUGCUUUUUGAAGAGAAGAUUCUGCAGUAAUGUUUAGGUUAGCGGAGAACAUGAGUGGUUGAUAACAGACUGGCAGGCUGCAAAUCACCAUUUCUUCACCCACAUCUCUUCAACCUUACAAACAAACAGGGGAAAGCUCUUUAACGAGAUACUGAGAGGACAAUGCCCACACACACCCCUCAAAACCAGCCUACUCUCAGUGAUGUAUUGGUCUCAAUAACAUAUUUUGCCAAUAGCAUUUUCAUACACAAAACAAACAUACGAAAAGACACCUACAGUAAAAUGAACAUCAGCUCCGUGGCAAUGUAAGGUGAUCUCACAUGUAUUGCUCAUGAAAACAAACAACAUUCAUGACCCAAUAAAAACAGCUCUAACCGGCUAGCCCAGUUGGUGGUUGGUACGUACUGACAGACAGAGGGAGGUCAGGCUCUCUGAUUCUGCUCAUACAACCUGGCUGGAGGUAACCUCCCUGCUAAACCAAGACAGUUGCUCUGAAGUCAGUGGCAUAUUCUUAAUUUGGAGACGCCAUCCGUCUUAGUAGGAACACACGCACUCGCACACACACAAUAUAUACAGUAUAAUAUACUGUGUAUACUGUUAAUAUAUACUUUUUGUAUUUGUAUUUAUUAGGGAUUCCUUUAGCUGCUGUCAAGGUAGUAAAUCAAAUAAAUCAAAUCAAAUGUUAUUUGUCACAUGCUCCGAAUAUAACAUGUGUAGAUCUUACCGUGAAAUGCUUAUUUACAAGCCCUUAACCAACAAUGCAGUUCAAGAAAUAUAGAAAAUAUUUACUAAAUAACUAAAGUAAAAAAUGUCAUAAAAAGUAACAAUAAAAUUACAUAACAAUAACGAGGCUAUAUACAGGGGGUACGGUCAGAUGCGGAGCAGUUGCCAUGCCAGGCGGUGAUGCAACCAGACAGAAUGCUCUCGAUGGUGCAGCUGAAGAACUUUUUGAGGAACUUGGAACCCAUACCAAAUCUUUUCAGUCUCCUGUGGGGGAAAAGGUGUUGCCGUGCCCUCUUCAUGAUUGUCUUGGUGUGUUUGGACCAUGAUAGUUUGUUGGUGAUGUGGACACCAAGGAACUUGAAACUCUCGACCCGCUCCACUACAGCCCCGUCGAUGUUAAUGGAGGCCUGUUCGGCCCUCCUUUUCCUGUAGUCCACGAUCAUCUCCAGCAACUACUUUUCCUGGGGUCCAAACACAAAGGCACUUACAUCACACAUUAAACAAAAGAUAAAACAGUACAUCAUAUAACAUUAUUACAUCACUACAUAUGAACAAUAUAAAAUGUAUAAUACCACCAUACAACAAUAUUACAAUAUACGUGCGUGUGCUAGCGCUUGUGUGCGUGUGUCUGUACCUUUGUGUGCGUCUCUUCACAGUCCAUAAGGUGUAUUUUUACCUGUUUUUUAACUUGUUAUGGAUAGGGGGCAGUAUUUUCACGGCCGGAUAAAAAAACGUACCCGAUUUAAUCUGAUUAUUACUCCUGCCCAGAAACUAGAAUAUGCAUAUAAUUAUUAGCUUUGGAUAGAAAACACUCCAAAGUUUCUAAAACUGUUUGAAUGGUGUCUGUGAGUAUAACAGAACUCAUUUGGCAGGCCAAAACCUGAGAAGAUUCCAAACAGGAAGCACCCUCUCUGACUAUUUCUUGGCCUUCUUGAUCACCUCUAUCCAAAACAGUGGAUCUCUGCUGUAAUGUGACAUUUUCUAAGGCUCCCAUAGGCUCUCAGAAGGCGCCAGAUUGUUGAAUGACUUUGCAGGCCAUGGCUGAAAAAAUGUAGCGCAUUUGGAUAGUGGUCGAUCUGAGAACAAUGAGACUGGCGCGCGCGUGCACGAGACGACUCCAUGUUUUUAUUUUCAGUCUUUGAACGAAAACAGGGUUUCCCCGGUCGGAAUAUUAUCGCUUUUUUACGAGAAAAAUCACAUAAAAAUUGAUUUUAAACAGCGUUUGACAUGCUUCGAAGUACGGUAAUGGAAUAUUCUGAAAUUUUUUGUCACGAAACGCGCCGGGCGCGUCACCCUUCUUUACCCUUCGGAUAGUGUCUUGAACGCACAACAAAACGCCGCUAUUUGGAUAUAACUAUGGAUUAUUUGGAACCAAACCAACAUUCGUUAUUGAAGUAGAAGUCCUGGGAGUGCAUUCUGACGAAGAACAGCAAAGGUAAUCCAAUAUUUCUUAUAGUAAAUCUGAGUUUGGUGAGUACCAAACUUGGUGGGUGUCAAAAUAGCUAGCCAUGAUGGCCGGGCUAUCUACUCAGAAUAUUGCAAAAUGUGCUUUCACCGAAAAGCUAUUUUAAAAAUCGGACACCGCGAUUGCAUAAAGGAGUUCUGUAUCUAUAAUUCUUAAAAUAAUUGUUAUGUUUUUUGUGAACGUUUAUCGUGAGUCAUUUAGUAAAUUCACCGGAAGUGUUCGGUGGGAAUGCUAGUUCUGAACGUCACAUGCUAAUGUAAAAAGCUGGUUUUUGAUAUAAAUAUGAACUUGAUUGAACAAAACAUGCAUUGUAUAACAUAAUGUCCUAGGAGUGUCAUCUGAUGAAGAUCAUCAAAGGUUAGUGCUGCAUUUAGCUGUGGUUUUGUUUUUUGUGACAUUAUAUGCUAGCUUGAAAAAUGGGUGUCUGAUUAUUUCUGGCUGGGUACUCUGCUGACAUAAUCUAAUGUUUUGCUUUCGCUGUAAAGCCUUUUUGAAAUCGGACAGUGUGGUUAGAUAAAGGAGAGUCUUGUCUUUAAAAUGGUGUAAAAUAGUCAUAUGUUUGAAAAAUGGACGUUUUUGGAUUUUUGAGGAAUUUGUAUUUCGCGCCACGCCUAUCAUUGGAUAUUGGAGCAGGUGUUCCGCUAGCGGAACAUCUAGAUGUAUUAAGUUAAUGUAGUACUGUGUGUAUGUAUGUAUAUAUACUCUAAUGCCAAGAGUGUGCAAAGCUGUCUUAAAGGCAAAGGGUGGCUACAUUGAAGAAUACACUUUUUUGGUUACUACAUGAUUCCAUGUGUUAUUUCAUAGUUUUAAUGUGUUCACUAUUAUUCUACAAUGUGGAAAAUAGUAAAAAAUAAAGAAAAACUCUUGAAUGAGUAGGUGUGUCCAAACUUUUGACUGGUACUGUAUGUCCUCAUUUACCAUUAAUCCCUGUCAUUUCGUUACAUACAUUUCUGUUAAUGCAAGGAUUAAUGAAGCCUACAGUCAUUU
rnacentral:lncRNA from 1 species